UACGGAGGGGGCUAGCGUUGUUCGGAAUUACUGGGCGUAAAGCGCACGUAGGCGGUUACUCAAGUCAGAGGUGAAAGCCCGGAGCUUAACUCCGGAAUUGCCUUUGAAACUAGGUGACUUGAAUCCAGGAGAGGUGAGUGGAAUUCCGAGUGUAGAGGUGAAAUCCGUAGAUAUUCGGAGGAACACCAGUGGCGAAGGCGGCUCACUGGAUCGGUACUGACGCUGAGGUGCGAAAGCGUGGGGAGCAAACAGG
rnacentral:rRNA from 1 species